rnacentral:rRNA from 1 species
AGGCUUAACACAUGCAAGUCGAGCGGUAACAUUUCUAGCUUGCUAGAAGAUGACGAGCGGCGGACGGGUGAGUAAUACUUAGGAAUCUACCUAGUAGUGGGGGAUAGCUCGGGGAAACUCGAAUUAAUACCGCAUACGACCUACGGGUGAAAGGGGGCGCAAGCUCUUGCUAUUAGAUGAGCCUAAAUCAGAUUAGCUAGUUGGUGGGGUAAAGGCCUACCAAGGCGACGAUCAGUAGCGGGUCUGAGAGGAUGAUCCGCCACACUGGGACUGAGACACGGCCCAGACUCCUACGGGAGGCAGCAGUGGGGAAUUUUGGACAAUGGGCGCAAGCCUGAUCCAGCAAUGCCGCGUGCGGGAAGAAGGCCUUCGGGUUGUAAACCGCUUUUGUACGGAACGAAAAGGCUCUGGCUAAUACCUGGGGCUGAUGACGGUACCGUAAGAAUAAGCACCGGCUAACUACGUGCCAGCAGCCGCGGUGAUACGUAGGGUGCGAGCGUUGUCCGGAUUUAUUGGGCGUAAAGGGCUCGUAGGUGGUUGAUCGCGUCGGAAGUGUAAUCUUGGGGCUUAACCCUGAGCGUGCUUUCGAUACGGGUUGACUUGAGGAAGGUAGGGGAGAAUGGAAUUCCUGGUGGAGCGGUGGAAUGCGCAGAUAUCAGGAGGAACACCAGUGGCGAAGGCGGUUCUCUGGGCCUUUCCUGACGCUGAGGAGCGAAAGCGUGGGGAGCGAACAGGCUUAGAUACCCUGGUAGUCCACGCCGUAAACGAUGAGUGCUAAGUGUUAGGGGGUUUCCGCCCCUUAGUGCUGCAGCUAACGCAUUAAGCACUCCGCCUGGGGAGUACGACCGCAAGGUUGAAACUCAAAGGAAUUGACGGGGACCCGCACAAGCGGUGGAGCAUGU